rnacentral:lncRNA from 1 species
AAAAGCAAUCAGUGUAAUGCGACAUAGUUAACCUCCCAGAGGCCUAUCAGUCUACUCAGCUGUGGCAGCUAGUAGGAAAUUUAAGUAGUUUCAAUAAAUCAUUCAAAGGCAGAAACUGCUAGCCAAAAGAGAAUUUCAGGAAAAAAAAUAUCAGGUGAUAAACAUUCUAGCACUUUGCAUAUCAAUCUAUGAUCUUUUAAACUUUACCCUAAUUUCUGCCCCUCUUUAGUGUCUUCCAUACAGUCGCGUUUUUCUAAAAGAACAAGCCUGAAUUGGAUUUUCCUAAAUUUGAGUUUUUAAUCCUGAAGGGCUUUCGUAAUGUUUUCUUGGCUUGAUAUCAAACUUCUGAU